GUAUAAUUACUACCAUGCUCUGUGAGCUGCUCUUGUUCUUCAUGUCUGGCCUAAAGCAGUGCCCAUAUCAAACUGUGCAAGUUCUCUGUCCACAAGAGCUACCCUUAGUUCCAGUCACAUAAAGCUAAUUUCUUUAUAUAAAAGACCUUUGAAAACUGGCUAUCACUAGAAGAAUUUACCUUGGGAGAAGAAAUUUAUCCCAAGAGAAACUAUGUCAUCAUUUGAAAUGAAGUUGGUCCAAUGAGUUUGCAAUCUAAUUGGAAUGUAAGGCUCUUCAACUGGCAAGGAGUUUCAUGUGGAGCUGUACAUUCAGCUUAGGCAGAACCUGGGCUGAAAUUUGUUGCUAUGUUCUGUGAUACAAAUGUUUUUCAUUUGUUCUCCUGUACUGGAAAGAAAUAUGAUUUUAAGUUUAAGUACACUUUCCUUUUUUUCCCCCUUCCAGUUUUUUUCCUAUACAAAUUUACAAAUGUUCUACGCAGAAAAACAUAACAUAGUAAACUUUAUUGCCUUUUGGGAUUCUAAUAACUUAAGUGGAUGUCUUCUGUUGCUAAACGUGGUAAAUUUUAGUACUGAAAAAACAACUUUUUCACAGUGGGCAUGUUUAUACUGAAGAGCAGGAGGGGCUGGCAAGGGAACCCCUUGGACUCCUUCAGACAUCCGCUCACAUCUCAAACACACACACAGAGGGUCAUUAAGCCUCUAUACCUUACCAACUUCCCAUUUAGAUUCAGACACCCUAAGGUUAAUUCCCUCCGGAAGCUGGCGUACUGCAUGGCCCCGACCAGAGGUGCAAACUACCAAUGAAAAUUUCAGACAUCUGUAAAGUCAACAAGAAGUAAAUAUAUAUUGACAAGUAACCACAACAAAACACUAAAACAACAAGCACAACAACCUACAGUACUAUAAACAAUAUACAGUUAUGGAGCCCAAUACCAGUCUGUCACCCUAGGUGGCAGACUAUCACCCUAGAGUGCUGAUGGGCAGGGAAGGCCUGCUGUGCAGUAUCUCACACCCCUGAGGAUAUCUAUGCUGUUCCCUCGCUCUAGGUGGGUAUUAAGCACCUCAACAAAGGGUAGGUGAUACUUACCCUGACUGAUGCAAUGCAAAGAAGCAGCUGAGUGGCCAGCAAGUGCCUAGGUGAUUUGGACCCUCUGUCAUUGCUCCUGAGCACUGUCACAACAUACCCUGUUCUCAAUCGCUCGACAACCUCACCGAGAAACUCUGGGUUCCAGACAACCACAAACAAUCAAGCAGUAGAUCAGUUCCAUAUUAAUGACACUUGCACACUCAGUCAUAUAAUCUUUAUAAGCCAAGCUCUUGCUUUGCAGAAUCAAGUUCCCAAAUGAAAGAACCCCUCUUAUCCCAGAGAAAGAAGCCCCAUCCACACUGACCCUGGACAGGUUUUUAUAAGGACUAAAUCACCCUACCUGUCCAUCAAAUGGAGAUCCAAUUAUCCCUCUCCUACUUCCAUCAAAGUCAAUCAUUAUAAGGACUAUACAAUUCAAACUAUGGCAACAACUCAUUACCAUAAUGGUCCUAAAUGUCCUAUUCCCUCAGUUCCCAAAACAAACAACUUGUUUUCAAACACUCUCUGUGCAAGCUCAGCCUUUAAAAGUAGGUCAUAACAUCAUUAAGGUUAGAAGUUUAGGUGUUCCAGAGAGUUCCACCCUCUAAUCAUCCUAUGCAUGUGUAGUCACAUCAGGACUCCACUGUCUACAACACAAACCUGUGUUUUUAUGUGUACCUAAACUUAAUGUGCAUUAAGGAAAUUUAGGCGCAAGUCUACACGUGCAUGUGCUAAGGCGCAUUAACACGGGUAUGCAGACUAGGGGCUAAAGUUAGUCCCAAGUCAAUGAAUACACACAGUAUUAAUGCACAUUAUAAUGCGCUUUAUGCAGGUAUCACACAUAUGUUCAAAUAGCCUAAAAGUUCCACUUUUGAAGCACAUUAAGGGCACGCCUGUAUAGACAUGCACCCUUAAUGCACCUUAAAAUGGGCUAAUGUGGAUUAAAUGUAUAUGUGUAGACAUGCCUAGUGUGUAUAUAAUUUUAGCUUUAUAUUUCAAGUUUUGCCAGUUGCUUGAACUCAUUGUCUUUAUUAUAGCAUUUUAAUAAAAAGUCUUAAAGACCACAUCCAGAUGUUCAGGGGCAUGUGCUUGCAGUGACAAAAAUAGUAGUGGCACAACUUUAUGCUGCUACGUUUUGCUGCUGUGCGCUUCCCUGCACGUGUACUAUGAGGGACAAAUUAUCGCACUCUGGGCAAACUGCCCUUGCCUGGCUCCUCUCAGCUCUUGGCAUGCCGGAGGAGCUGGGGCACAACUGCAGGGGUGGAGACACUCUGGCCAGCAGUCAGAGAAUUUCCCUGGAGGAACGAGCCCCCUUGACUUCUGACGUACACUCCUGCACAUGCAUUUUGCUGCUUUUUUUCCUGGCCCUAUGAGUGACUGGUGCCUCCUGAAUCUUGGGGAGUACCCGCAGAAGCUGCUGACGGUGGCAGCCCUGUUGGGGGGCACAAGCCCUGCUGACAGCAUCAGUGUCAGCUGUCAGGGGGGGCACGUGUACCCCUGUGCACCUCCUAUCAGUUGCCUAUGCCUGGCACUUUUUUUUUUGCUACCAGGAUUUCCCAGUAAAAUAUUUUGGCCCCAUGCUGCAAAUUUGCAGCACAGGAGACAUUUUAAUAUUCCCCAUGUGCAGUUUGUGGCACCACAAAGAGGUUUGCAGCACUAGAAACCUCACGUGCCUGCAUGUCUUGAUGUGGCCAAAAAGCACCCUUUCAAUUUGCUGGCCAGAUUAGACAGGUACAGUUAAUGGCUCAAAAAUUCAAUUUUCAAUGGGACUUCAAUAUAUUUUUAAAUAAAUGUUUGUUUUUACAAGCAGUUAAAAGCAAAAUGGCUUUUAAAUAACGUGACAAAUUCUACCAGCCACUGUAUUAUCAGGCCAAACCAUUUGGCAUUAAAUUCUCUUUAUGCAAUUUUUGUGGUGGCUGUUUGGCACAAUGCAGAAACAAAACAUUUUGGAGAUCUGGUUGUUAGUUAAAUAUCCUCUUCUCUAUUGUAUCUAAUUGCUGCAGUGCUUAACUUGCAUUGUAAUAUUUUUUCCCUAUGUGGUAUGAACCAUUAGGUAGCCUUUAAAAAUGCUAAACUAAGUUAUCUGGAAAGAUGCCAAUAAGGAAAUAAUUAAGGACUUGCUGGCAUUUUUCUGUUUUAAAGGUCAUGGAAUAAGUCAAGACCUGGAAAAAUACGGUAUUUUAAUUGAAUGUAUUUACAGUAUUCAGAUUCUGGUGUAAUUGAGAGAGUGUUUCCCUAGAAUUUAUCUAAGAUUUCUUUGCCCUUUUCCCCCCAGUAAAAUGGCAGUUUAUUUUUUUUUUCAGAUGAAGGAUCCAGUGAAGCCCAUAGUGGUGGAACCGUAACAGCACAUCACAAUAGGUCCCCACUCCCCAUGUAUUUGGAAGAACUUUGGAGCUUAAUUACUAAAUAGCUAGCUUGUGACUGGGCAUUGUCACUCUCCAGGUCAGUGUGCAGCAAGAGAUCCAUAUUCCCUCCACUGUGGUGAAAGGUAAUGCCCCGCUCUCAGCUUGAGUGGGCACUAACUGCAUCACCAGCCAACAGGGGAAGAACAUGUCCCUGGAGAGCUCUUACUCCUGCCAGGAUGAACUUGGAGGUGUCAUGUGCUCAGAACGGGCUACCAUUGCAGUAUGUUUCAUCAAAAUCAAGUCAGAAAUGACAAAGUUAUAGCCUGUUUUGAACUUCCCCAUUAUAGCCUAUGGGCGGAACGUCGAAACAGGCACGAAAUGGGAAACUCUUGACGAAGCGACACAGAACAGCUGCUGUGACUCGAAACAAAAGUCGUGGCACACUCUGCAACUUCACUGGAACAUAGAUGUGUCUGUAUGCCCUGGUCCUAACUUCUCAUGUUCACUAGGUUGGCCAACUGAGUGUAGCAUUGAGCAGCGGACUUUGGUCCUAUAACAUCUGCAGAGUGAUUGUGACUGUGAGUGUGAGUGUGUGUGUGUUAGUGCUCUUUUGAAUCUUAUAAUCAAUA